ensembl:lncRNA
UCACAAUAUUGAAUCUAUUUAUUUUUGGCUGUGCUGGGUCUUUAUUGCUAUGUGUCGACUUUCUCUAGUUGCAGUGCAUGGACUUCUUGUUGCUUCUCUUGUUGAAGAGCACAGGCUGUAGGGCGUAUGGGCUCAGUAGUUGUGGCACACGGGCUUAGUUGCCCCAUGGCAUAUGGAAUCUUCCUGGACCAGGGAUCGAACCUGUGUCCCCUGCAUUGGCGGUGGAUUCUAAACCACGGGACUGCCAGGGAAGUCCACAGCAUUAUAACUUUCAACCAUUGUUUCCAACCUCUGAGUCUUCCCCAAAGUGAUCUGCCUCCAUGAGUCUUUGAGGAAGCUGGGUUUAGGAAAACUAGCAACUUUUUAUUUACUCCACUGCCUAUUACUGGGAGAACUUUGUGUUGUAAGGGCUUAGUCACGCCCAACCACAGGCUUGUCAGGCUUUAACCUUGCGGAUGCUCUGGGUCCCUGACCCUGUGAGGCUGUGAAGGUGAUGCUCAGCUUUCCAGUUCUCUCUUCCUGCUUCACAGAUUCUCCCCAACUCGCAUCUGUUUGAUGCAUCAGAAGCAUAAAGCACAGGUGAGAGGUCUCACCAUCAUCUUUCCCUAACGGAGGAGGAAGGAGGCUCAGCAAGAUCAAGUGGACUGCUCAAGGUGACAGAGCAAGCACAAGGCGGUGCUUGGCUCAGAGCUCAAGUAUUUCUGACAGUUGACCCCCUCCUGGCCUCGCAUUCCUGAUUUCAUGGAGAUUUUGGAGCAUGUGGUUAAACUCGGGAGAGGUGGUUUGACUCCAGGGCCACAGGGCUCCAAAUGAGCACCUCGUGAGAGGCUGAGGUGGAGUCUCCUCUACGAAGAAGGACAAGCUUGGUUUCCUGAUGCCACACUGGUGAGAAGUGAAUUAAAACAGCUCAUUUUCAAAUGAAGCCAAGUGGACAGAAGUUUUUCCAUUCUAUUUUUUGUCUCCUUUGUGUGAUGGAGGGCACAGACUGAUACAGAUUUCCUCAUACCAGUUAUAGAGGCUUUGUCUCCAAGCAAGCUGGGAAUUACUGAUGGAGCGAAGGGAGAAGAGCUGAUUGCAUGAGAGGAAGGAAUUGUCAUGCCUUUUGUUCAGUUCCUAACUCUGGAAGGAGCUGACUUAGAAUCACUGGAUGUUAGAACUCAAAAAAGGAACCCUGGAAACUGGGUAGUUCAACUUUUCAUCAAAUGCAGGACCCACAGUGGCUCUGGCAGCAGGCGGAGAGGGAAGAAAGACCCUUGCUUCCAGAAAAGCGCUGGUUUCGAGCAGUGGAGGAGAUAGAUGGAAGUAACCAGAGGGAUGGAUCAGGUUGGCAGCUCAGACGCUCCCAGGAGGAGGACCGCUCUGGGGACUGGCACCUCUGAACAAUGGCUCUCAGUCCUGUAUUUCCUGUAUUUCUGUCAGUCAUCUCCCAGGCACGCUGUCCUCUUUCCUUGCUCAGCCAUGUUCUUGUCUUUCUCUGAAGCAAUUAAAAAAAAAUUAUAUUCUGAAACAGUCUUGAGAAAUUGUGUUACUCCCCUUGCUGGCCUGACAAAGCUAUCAAGCUCUGACUGCCAUCUUUGAUGGUUUGGCAGAUAAUUUUCCAAUCUGGUGUUACAAAGGCCUAGCUCUAUUUGAUCAAGUAAUAAGAAGCCAUGUAAUGAGUUCUUAUAACUUCUGA